rnacentral:rRNA from 1 species
UGGGGAAUAUUGCACAAUGGGCGAAAGCCUGAUGCAGCGACGCCGCGUGCGGGAUGAAGGCCUUCGGGUUGUAAACCGCUUUUGAUUGGGAGCAAGCGAGAGUGAGUGUACCUUUCGAAUAAGCACCGGCUAACUACGUGCCAGCAGCCGCGGUAAUACGUAGGGUGCAAGCGUUAUCCGGAAUUAUUGGGCGUAAAGAGCUCGUAGGCGGUUUGUCGCGUCUGGUGUGAAAGUCCAUCGCUUAACGGUGGAUCUGCGCCGGGUACGGGCAGGCUAGAGUGCGACAGGGGAGACUGGAAUUCCCGGUGUAACGGUGGAAUGUGUAGAUAUCGGGAAGAACACCAAUGGCGAAGGCAGGUCUCUGGGUCGUCACUGACGCUGAGGAGCGAAAGCGUGGGGAGCGAACAGGAUUAGAUACCCUGGUAGUCCACGCCGUAAACGGUGGAUGCUGGAUGUGGGGCCCCAUUCCACGGGUUCCGUGUCGGAGCUAACGCGUUAAGCAUCCCGCCUGGGGAGUACGGCCGCAAGGCUAAAAC